AGUACGUGAAACUGCUUAGAGGUUAAACCCGAUGAACCUGAAUAUCCGUUAUGGAAAAUUCAUCAUUAAAAAUUUAACAUUUUAAAAAUGUUAAAGAAGUAAUGUGCAAUUUUUCCAUAUAAGGACAUUGUAAUCUGUUAAUGUAAUAAAUAUUUAUCAAAAGAUCCAUUACAUAAGAUUAUUCUAAUUAGUUUUCCUUGGAUUCUAAAAUAAAAUAAUAGUUUUGGAUUUGAUAAAUCAUUGACAGAUAUAAUUAUAUAAAGUGCUCAAAUUCUUCGGAAUUUUACAAUGGUAAAUAGAUCUAUGAUUUAUUUAUUAAAUUGCAUGCGCUAUUAUGAUUAACAAUGCGAUAGAUUCAGGAUACCUUCGGGACCCGUCUUGAAACACGGACCAAGGAGUCUAACAUAUGUGCGAGUCAUUGGGUUUUAAUAAAACCUAAUGGCAUAAUUAACUUAACUGUUAAUUUUUCAUGGGAUUAGUUUUAAUUUUCUUUGGAAAUUUUAAUUCAAUCCCGGGGCGUUCUAUACAGUUAUGCAUAAUAAUAUUUAUAUUAUUUAUGCCUCUAACUAGAUCGUACCUUUAGC
rnacentral:rRNA from 1 species